AGCAGUUUGAUUGCAACAGAGUUAAGACAGGUGCUGAGAAGGUAGCUCUAAGGGCCAUUAGUAUACAAGUGAAAGUUGAUUCUGUAUUUGUGGAUUGUUUGGGAGCAAUGUAAACAUCAGAUCCAAGGAAGAACUUCCAAGUGGACAGAGCUCUGUGGGUGGCUUGUGCACAUUUUAUCGGACUGGCUUCAGGGAUUUCUGUAACCUGCAGUACUUUCACAGCUUUUCCACUAUUUGCUGAAAGCUGAGCCAGAAGAACUUGUCACUGCCAGGAUACAUUGGCAUAUAUCAGCAUCCCUGGUGUUGUGCAUCCAGACGAGCACCGGUUUUCUGCAGCUCACCCUCUCGGGAUCGCCAGAGGAGGCCACACCCACCAGCCUGGUCUGAGGACAGCAAUUGGUUCUGUGCAGUCUCCACAGUCCAGACGAACAUCCAGCAGUGUGGUAGAAGCAACAUGUCCACAAUGGCUGCAGUGAAGGGAUCCAACCAGGAAGACAUGCCCUCUUCCACCUAUGAGCAUGAAUGCCUCAGAGGAAGCGUUCUUCUGCACCCUCACCAGCUCAGUUCCUGGCACCUUGGAAUGGCACAUCUUGCUAGUUUGGGAGCACAAGCUCAUUCUUAUAAAUGCACAAACUCACUCUUGAUAAGUGCACAAACAGACACAGGAACGACAGGCAGAUUGUGUUGGAGGCAUGAGAGAAACUAACGCAAAGACUGCACCAUUGCAGCAAUGCCAUGGUGACCCUGCUGCUUCAGGAGUAUGAUAGCCUGUCUGUCAUCAUGGAUGGGUUAGCAGUUGCCAUGGACAGCCAGAUACAACACUCCGAGUCUGCUGGAUACGCAAAUUUGUCUGGCCUCUAUCACCUAGCCACUGGGUCUCAGCACCAAAUACAAAAUGACAGGGAUGAGGGACACUGAGCUCAUUCCAGAUCCCCUCCCUCACAAGAAGACAGGGUGGUGCUAGUAGGCACCCACGAAGAUACAUUCAUCAUGUCUAGACUCUCUAGACAAAGAUGCCACCAGGGUUGCCCGAGCAAACCUCCAAGGUCAAUAUCUCCUACUGAAGGCCAGGCACUCGCCACCCCAGCUGUGGAGCUUGGGUCUCCAUGGAGACAUAGUCUGGGGUGU